rnacentral:tRNA from 1 species
UGUGGAUGUAGCUCAGUGGUAGAGUGUGUGCUUAGGGUGCAUGAUGCCCUGAGUUUGAUCCCCAGAGCUACAA